UUCCGCGGGAGGCCGGAAGGCUGAGGGUGACGGCAGCGCCUGGAAGCUGGAGGCCAGGCCUGGCCAGGCGGGGGACCCGAAUGGAGCCAGGGCCGGCGCUGGUCCCAUCGGCCACAUCUCCGGGGGCACGGCGCGUAACGGGAGGCUUCAGGGGCUGAGAGCGUUACAGGCUGCGCUCGGGGGCCAGAUAGGCCGGGCGCUCAGAAGGGUGACGCAUUGAGGGGCGAGGAGUCUCGGGACGGAGGGGCGACUCCGGUUAGGGGUCUUGCUUAGAGGUGGUCUCGGGAUCUGUAAAACGCCUGGCAUGGAGUCGGCUGAAAACAUGUGGGGACGGGGUUACUCUGUAGACCUUUGGCCUUGGCAAACCACGCCUAGAAAAUCCCCAUAGUCUGAGAAGCCCCUGCAGGAUCGAUAGGAGAUGCCAGAAGUUCCUUGAUGUGUUAUGGGACACAUUUGGACUUGACAGGCCAACACCUGGGACAUAGAGAGGACCCCUCUGACUCCUUUCUUCCAGGACAUCCUGUAGGGAGUAUGAGCCUGAUGUGGGCAGAAUCCAGAUGAGCUGGCCAGUGCUGUGAAGGAGCUG
rnacentral:sRNA from 1 species